CUGCAUUUUAUUUUCUAAUUUUAGUUUCUUAAUACUACUAGCAUAACCAGUUUUAUUUGACAUUCUGAAAUUUUUUAAAGAAGGCUAAACAAAUUUAAAAUCAUAAAUAGAUCUCAUAUGGGAUAACAUUGAUAAUUUUAAAACUUGAUUAAAUGAUUAAUUUAAUAUACAAUGGUAGGUAAUAAUUAUUCCGUUUUUGUACAUAAUAUAUAUGUAUAUUAAUAAAUAAACAUAAUCUUAUAUAAUAAUAUAUAAUAUAACUGAAACAUUUUACUAAAGAUCAAGUAUAAAUAAAUCACUAUAAAACAAAUUUAAAAACCAGCCUCUGGGUGAAUACUAGGGCACUCUGGUGAACAGCCAAUUUGCUUUAAUUUUUUAUAUUAAAAGAUACCAAAGUGGCAUUAUCUUAUCUUCUCUACAUCCUGCAUAUAGAUGUACAUUACAUUUACUCUCUACCUUUGAAUUUUCUCUCUAACAAUAGUGGCCCACCAACAUACCAAUUACAUCAGUCUUUUUUUCCAAAUCUUUUUAAUACCCGUUUAAUUUAAUAUAAUAUUUAUUUUUGUUGGAUUCUGAGCCAGAUUUUCAUUAGUUUUUUGUGUUUAUAAACAAAUUUCCUAUCAGCAAUCUUGUCCAGAUUGAAAGAAUGCAGAAAACCCAUUUUUCCAUGUCUAUUGCUGUAUCCAUGGGCACUGGGAAGGGUGUAAGGAGUAAAAAAUUGUGGUAGUAAUGUAGAUAAAGGGAGGGUAAUAAAUUAGAUGAUUGAACUCUACCUUACUCUUCCAGUCUAAAUUUUAAACAUUAUAUCUAAAAUUAGUGUUAUGCAAGGCUGGGCAAGUUAAUGAUUUUUUUAGUCAAAUUAAAUUAAAUUUAAAUUUAUAUGAAGUUAAUUCAAAAUAAUCUAUUGAUUCAACAAAGUUAGAAGUUAACUAAAAGUUAAAAUUAACUUUUUAACUCAAGUUAAGUUAAUUAAAAAAAAAAUGUAUAUAUUGUCUAUUACCUACUUAAUAAACUAACUACAACAUUUAACCAGUAACAGUAAAACCUCA